GCCGUUGUGGCGCAAUGGUAGCGCGUAUCUUUCCUAUAGUAAGCCGUACUUUGGUUUGCGAGAAAGGAUGAGGUUGCGGGUUCGACCCCCGUCAUCGGUU